CUCUCACUCUCUACCCGCUGGGCGGUACCCCGCAUCUCGCUCUGGCCGCCCCAGAGGUUCGCGGCUUCUGGACCUGCUGUGCCCCUCUCCAGCCUGGAUCAGGACGGAGAACACCCCCGAAACCCACCUCACCAGCACAGCCGGCGGACCCUUCCGGAGGUGGCCGCAGAGACUAGCCAACUUGCGCGCCCGCCGACCCGGACCACAGCUCCCAGCACACCUCAAGGGCCCACGCCCGCCAGGACUACAAUUCCCGGCGUCCUCCGGAAGCUCAAGUGUACCCAGGCGCGGUGCCUGCUGGGAAUUGUAGUUGACGUUGGUCAGCACGGAGGCCACAGGAUCCCAGCCCGGCCUUUGUGGGACUGAGGUGGCGCUGAGUGGGAGAGCAGCAGGCGAUGCGCGAAAGGCGGGACUUGGAGAUAAAUACUGAGCACCCACAACAGGCAGCCAGCACCACUGCAGAUUGGAUACUGCAAUGAUGAUAAGCAUGGCCUGCCUUUAUGGAGGUUCUGGAUGUUCCUGUGGAUAACCUCAAGGAGCACGGGACCUGGGACAUGACUGCCCCCAGCAUUCCUUCUGGCGGCAGACAGAGUUUGUCAGUUCGCCAACAUCCUGCUUUCAUGAGAACAGUUUGCUGUUUGCUCACAGAGCCUCCAGUGGUAUACUGAGUUGGUCACGACCCUCAUUCCUUCGGCCUCCAACAUCUCCCCUUUUGUUUUUGCAUUAAUUGAAUAAAGGUAAUUUCAGGCUGUGCAGCUUUCAAUUGCCGGUUGGUGGUUCACCCGAUCCUAUAGACUAUGAGCAAAAAAACAGAGACAUAACAACAUUAUUCUUGUAAUUAUUAUAAAAGAGACAUUGAAGUUAUGUUUAAGGUAGGUCCAAGGGUUGAGGCUUUUUUUUUUUUUUUUUUUUUUUUGAGAUGGAGUCUCGCUCUGUCACCCAGGCUGGAGUGCAGUGGCGCCAUCUUGGCUCACUGCAAGCUCUGCCUCCCGGGUUCACGUCAUUCUCCCACCUCAGCCUCCUGAUUAGCUGGGACUACAGGUGCCCGCCACCACACCCAGCUAAUUUUUUUGUAUUUUUAGUAGAGAUGGGGUUUCACUGUUUUAGCCAGGAUGGUCUCGAUCUUCUGACCUCGUGAUCUGCCUGCCUCGGCCUCCCAAAGUGCUGGGAUUAUAGGCGUGAGCCACCGCACCCGGCCAGGGUUGAGGCUUUCUAAGCCCUGCUGGAAUUCUGUUUAAGCUUCUAAAAAGGGCUGUUAUUUUUGAGUUUGCUUAUUCAAGUUAAGAAUUUUACUCUGUAAGUUACUGAUAUCAAAAGUAAUAUUGGAUGUAAAAGCUCCCUGCAAAUGAGCUUUUACAAGGUUCCAUGGAUAUUCACUUUGGUUCUAUUCCAAAUUGGUCACACAAAUAUGAAUAUGAUUGAAAUGACAGUGCAAUUGCUGCUACAAUUGCAAACUUUGUACCUGCUUUCCCAGCCACAGAACAGUAGCCUUUAACAUUGCUACCUUUGUUUGUAAUUCGGUAUUAAUUUUAUUUUGAAGCAUCCAUGCCUGGUUGGCUGUACAUGUCCAAUUUUCUACAUAUUGGGCUGUUUGAAUAGAACUAUGUAGUGCUACUGAGGACACUACAACCGAGGUUAUUAGUGUGACUAAGGAGAUUACAGUAAAAAUUACUAUGUUUAAGGCUUUACGUGCACGAUGAGUGAGCUGGGUAAGAAGGAGUUUUACAAAAUGUAAAGCAGGGGUGGCAGCCCAAGGUUUGCACAAAUUGACAGGGAUCCAUAAUCCAGGGAUACGACCCAGAAUUAUUAGAGUGGAUAUGUUGUGUGUUUGUAUUGUGCUAUGAUUGAGGCAGUGAUACAGUUGACAAGAGUCACAAGUCAACUGGGUGAUGUUUACGUGGAGUUGGUCCUUCUUAGAUGCUAGAAAAACAUAGGGAUUAAAAACACAAACUGGCCGGGCAUGGUGGCUCACGCCUGUAAUCCCAGCACUUUGGGAAGCCAAGGCGGGUGGAUCACGAGGUCAGGAAUUCAAGAGCAGCCUGGCCAAGAAGGUGAAAUCCCGUUUCUAUUAAAAAUACAAAAAACAAAAAAUAGCCUGGCACGGUGGCGGGUGCCUGUAAUCCCAGCUACUCGGGAGGCUGAGGCAGACAAUUGCUUGAACCCGGGAGGCAAAGGUUGCAGUGACCCGAGAUUGCGCCACUGCACUCCAGCCUGGGCGACAGAGUGAGACUCCAUCUCAAACAGUUAACAACAACAACAAAAAACCCACAAACCGUAAAUUGAGUGGUAAUAUUUUUUACAAAGGUGAUAUUAAAACUGUGUUGAGUAAUAUUACUAUUGUUGGAUAAUGUUCUGACCCAGAUGCUGUUAUUCAUAAAUGGGAGUGUUGCCUUCCAUAUCGAUUCCUGAAUUGGGCCUCUGUUUCCUAGAUGACGUCACUGAGGUAAGGGCGGGUUAAAGCCUGUCCUAUACCAAGCAAGUUGUGCAGCCAACUGGGGGACUGAAUCCCAGUGUGAUGUGAUGAAGAGGUGUUGAAGGUCCACCACCAGUGCCAGUGAAGUUUGUGCCAAGAGGUCUGAUUUUCAUCUCUCCCCUCUAAAUGGCCACGGGGACCCCAGUCAAUGUUUCCCAUUAACAUAGACUGUUGUCUGGCCAAGGGGCCAAGACACUGGGUCCAAGGAGGGGGGUGAGAAAUAUCAAAGGGAGCCCAUUCCAUAUAAUCCAUACAAUUUGAGUGAUGGGGCUAGGAGUGAUUGGUGAACACGCCAGUAACAUUAAUAAAGCUGAGGCCUAAUAAAUACAUAAUUUUUCCAUGGUGACUUAACCAUGCCUGAGAUUGGACUGCAAGACAGCUGCAGUUGAGUGACGUAUCCAUGGUGAUACAUAAAGGGAGUCCUUCCAAUGGGCCGGUGUAAUUGAUGCUAUUGCUCUGUGUCAGACGGAGUUAGGGGUCCUGGUGCCCACGCUCCCUGAUCAUAAUAUAUCUCAGGAGGAGUGUCGCUCCAGAGUACCAGUCGUACUACCAGUGGGUUAGGAACAUAUGCCCAAUAUGUUUUUGCCUCUACACAGGGGAAACAUACCGCACAGGACACUACAGCUAGCAUGGCCAAGAACAUGGAGUCAGGGGUUUUUGCCUGACCCUGGCGCUCCAGUAGUUUCUCAGCUUCUUGUGUCGUUUUCUUGAUCUGUCCCCAUGUUAUGGGGUUGGAUGUCAUUGUGACUCCGGUCGGCCCUUGUUCUGUCUUUGCAUUCAGAUUCCGCUGGCUCAUGGCUCGUACUGGAGGUAACAGGCCCACGGUUGAAUACCAUGGAUCCCUCCGGUCUCCCGUUCCAUGGUCACACACACCUGGAGGGCACCCACACGGUUUGUCCAUCUCCUGUAAAAACACAAGCAUACCCUCGUCCCCACGUCAGCAAAUCCACCGGACCUUUCCAUUGUCCUUCUUCUGGGGAUUUCCAUAACACUUUUGGAUAAACUUGCCUCUUUUCCUCUAGCAGUUGCCAGUGUCGUUCUGCUGGGGUCUUGCCAUCCGUACCAGGAGUCAAACAAUUUAAAGUAAACAAGGCUAAAUGUAAUUUUGUUUGAAGUGGUAAUUGGUCCCCUAUUCUCCCUUUUUGUUUUUUCAGCAUGCGUUGUAGUGUUUGAUGUACCCGCUCAAUAAUGCCUGGCCCUCAGGGAUUGUAUGGAAUUCCUGUUUUAUGAUUGAUUGCCCACAAUUGUAAAAAAUUGGGAAAGCAUGACUAACAUAAGCGAGUCCACUGUCAGUUUUAAAUUGUUUAGGGACCCCCAUAUGGGCAAAUGACGACAGACAGUAUCGUCAGACAUGACCAGCUGUUUCCCCAGUUUGGCAUGUGGCAUGUAACAUAUGGGAGUAAGUGUCUAUAUUACAUGAACAUAGCGGAGUUAGCCAAAGGCUGCUAUAUAUAUGUAACAUCCAUCUGCCAGAUUUCAUUUGGAGCCAAGCCUCGUGGGUUGCAUCCUUCCACAGGUGCAACACCAGGGACAUGCUGGCAAGUGGGGCAGGCUUGCACAAUAACUCAAGCCUGGCUGCGAGGCAGAUGAAACAUACGAGUAAGGGCAAGUUGUUCUGAUGCAGUAAAGCAUGGGAAGCUUGGGCUUGUUGAAAUAUAGAACUGAUGAAUUUAUCUGCUCUAUCAUUACCUAGAGAUAGUGGCCCCAGGAAGUUGUGUGUGAGAUCGGAUAUGAGAAAUAUGAAAAGGGGCAGCAUGAGAGCGAACAGCUUUUUGGAGUCUCAGAAAUAGGUUAAGCAGUUCUGGUUUUAAGGUGCUCUUGUGUGGGCGGCAAGCCAUCCAGGCGCCGAAGCAAGAGACAGAGGACACGGGCUGUUCCAGUAUAAUAAAAUAUAAAACAAGAAUAGUUAUACCAGAUAUAGAUCUUAGAUAUGAUUAUAUAUGAAUAUCAUUAAUCAUUAGUUUGUAGCAAUUACUUUUUAUUCCAAUAUUACAAUAAUCCUUGCUCUAUAAUCAUAGCCUAGGAAAAACCAGGCCAUACAGAGAUAGGAGCUGAGGGGACAUAGUGAGGUGUGACCAGAAGACAAGAGUGCGAGCCUUCUGUUAUGCCCAGACAGGGCCACCAGAGGGCUCCUUGGUCUAGUGGUGACGCCAGCGUUUGGGAAGACCGUGGUCUAGCGGUAGCGAAAAGUGUCAAGGAACAACACCCGCUACUUAGCAGACCGGGAAAGGGUGGGGGGCGGUCUCCCUUUCCCUGGGGGAGGUUAGAGAAGACUCUGCUCCUCCACCUCUUGUGGAGGGCCUGACAUUAGUCAGGCUCGCCCACAGUUAUCCGGAGGCCUAACCGUCUCCCUGUGAUUCUGUGCUUCAGUGGUCACGCUCCUAGUCCGCCUUCAUGUUCCAUCCUGUACACCUGGCUCUGCCUUCUAGAUAGCAGUAGUAAAUUAGUGAAAGUACUAAUAGUCCCUGAUAUGCAGAAAUAAUGGCGUAAGCUGUCUUUCUCUCUGUCUCCUCUCCCUCUCUGCCUCGGCUGCCAGGCAGGGAAGGGCCCCCUGACCAGUGGACACAUGACCCACGUGACCUUACCUAUCAUUGGAGAUGACUCACACUCUUUACCCUGCCCCUUUUGCUUUGUAUCCAAUAAAUAAGAGCGCAGCCAGACAUUCGGGGCCACUACCGGUCUCCGCGCAUUGGUGGUAGUGGUCCCCCAGGCCCAGCUGCCUUUUAUCUCUUUGUCUUGUGUCUUUAUUUCUACACUCUCUCGUCGCCGCACACAGGGAGAGACCCACCGACCCUGUGGGGCUGGUCCGUACACUCUUGAUAGUGGCAGUUUUAAUGCAACUAGCUACAUUUACGACAUAGGCUGAAUUACAGACAAUAUUAAUAGGAAAUAAAGCUGUGAGCUUUAAAACUUGAAUAACUGCCAUUAAUUCAGAGUGUUGAGCUGAAACUCUAGGGGUCUUUAUUAUUUAAGUAUAUUUAGGUCCAUAAAUGGCUGUGUGGCUUUUGGAAGAGCCAUCGGUAAAAUAGGUCUGUCCACCUGAAAUGGGUUUGUGAUGAGCAAUCACAGGGGGAAUAAAAGGGUGAAUUUUAUAAAACUGCAAAAUUUUGUCUGAUGGAUAAUGGUUAUCUAUUAUUUCUACAAAAUCUGCGAAAGUGAUUUGCCAUGCAGUGGACAUCUCCCAGGCCGCAGCCUGUUGUUGGGAAUCCAAGGUAACAAUAAUUUUAUCAGGAUCAUAUCCUGUAAGCAUUUUUGAUCUAUGCCUGCCUAUUGUUAUAAGUUGUGUGACUAAAGCAAGAUAAACUUGCAAAGAUUUUACUGUUUGACUGGAUAAAAAAAGCCAUUCUAUUACCAUUAUAGUUUUGUCUAUGAAUUGAGCUAAAAGUCCUGAUGGAGAAUGGGGGGUAGGAAGAAUAAACAAAACCAAAGACUUUUGUGGUUGUAGCCAGGAGGCAUGUCGUUGCUGAAGCAUCUUUCUACAAGCUGUAAUUCAGCUUCUGCCUCCUUAGUAAGUUGCCGAGGGGAAUCUAAUGAAGAAUCUCCUUGGAGGGUUUGAUAAACAUGAGUGAGUUGAUAAGAAGCAAUACCUAGCAUUGGGCGCAGCCAAUUAAUAUCCCCUAAGUUAUUCAGAGUUUGUAAUUUGUUCUUACGAAGAGCUACUUUCUGAGGCUGAAUACUUUUUUCAGUAACAGUAGUAUCUAAGUAUUGGUAUGAGGAGGUUGUUUGUACCUUUUCAGGAGCUAUUUUGAGAUUCCAUUUAGUUAAAGCCCAUUUUAUUUCUCUGAAUAACUGGUAUAAUACUUGAUCUGUAGGAGUGGCCAAAACAAUAUUAUCCAUAUAAUGAAUGAUGUAGGUGGUGGAAAACAUAUUCCGAGGCUCCUUCAAUGCUUUUCCUACAAAAUGCUGACAUAACGUAGGACUGUUGAGCAUGCCUGGGGUAAUAAAACUUUUCAUUGAUCACAAGAGACAGGCUCUCUCUGAUUAAUAGAAGGCACAGAGAAGGCGAAUUGAGGCUUGUCCUUCUUGUGUAAUGGUAUAGUGAAAAAACAGUCUUUAAGAUCUAUUACUACAAGAGGCUAAUCUCUUGGAAUGGUUGCCGGGGAUGGCAGACCUUGCUGUAAUGCACCCACUGGUUUAAUUUGUGCAUUAACAGCUCUCAAAUUAUGCAGCAGUUGCCAUUUUCCUGACGUUUUGGGGGUCACAAAUACUGGUGAAUUCCAAGCACUAACUGAUACUUUUAUAUGUCCUGCAUCCAAUUGCUUUCUUACCAGCUGAUGGAGUUGAGUCAGUUUUCUCCUGUGAUAGGGGCCAUUGAUCCACCCACACAGGUUUAUCAGUCAGCCACUCUAGCAGCAAGGCAGUGGGUGGAGAAGAAGUAUCAAUGACCCCUAUCAGAAAUCCUGAUGACCUAGCCCUUUCCUAUCUGUUUGCCCAGUUACCGAUACCGGACCGGGGUUUCCCUGUAGGAACUUUCCCAAGCCUUUCCCACUCUGAUAUCCCAUUUCCUUCAAUAUUUUAAAUCCUGGAUUAUCAACCUUUUCAUUUGUAAGUCUCACAUCCCAUGCUGUAAGUAAAUCUCAGCCCCAGAGAUUAACACGUAUAUUUGCAACAUAAGGUUGAAAAGUACAUGGCUGUCCAUCUGGACUGACACAAAGUAAAAUUUCAGCACUCUGUUAAACACUUUGAGCUGUUCCUACUCCCACUAAGGAUGCAGAGGUUAGUAGCAGGGGCCAAUUGUUUUUGGAUAUUACUGAAACAUCUGCUCCUGUGUCCAUACACCCACAACACUUCUUUCCUUUAAUUUGCACUGCACAGGUGGGUCAAUUAGAAGCUAUGGGUUGGGAUAGGUAAAUUUCCUGUGUAGUUGUACUCCCAAAUUCUUGAUUUCCUCUUUUCUCCUUUCGUGAAGAAGGGUGUAAUUUGCAGAGAAUAAUAAUAAGCAAUAGCUGAGCAAUAUAUUUCCCAGGUUUAAAAACCCAAAGAUCUUGUGACAUUACAAUUACUUGAAUUUCUCCUUCAUAAUCAGAGUCAACAAUCCAGGGAUCACAGUAAUGCCCUGUAAGUUCAGAUGGCUUUGGCCUAAAAUUAAUCCUGUAUAUCCUGUUGGCAAAGGUUCCCAAAUGCCUGUGGGAAUUCUGGUGGGUUUGUCUCCUCCAACUAACGUGACCCAUUCUCUGACUGAGCGAUCUAAUCCUGCACUCCCCGGUGUUCCAGAGGAGAGGGAGUCAAUGUUCCUCCAGGAACCCACCCCUGUAGCAGGGUUGUGGCCUGGAUGGGGAAUGCCCUCAUUGUUUGAGGGGCCCAGGCCCCAUUCUCAUUUCCUGAGAGCGGGGUGCCAUUCUGAUGAAAUUUUGAGCAACACUGAUUAGCCCAAUGAUUUCCUUUAUUACGGCGAGGGCAAAGUCCUGGUGUUUUUUUUUCUGUGUGUGUGUGUUGGGGGGAGCGGGGCGGGGAGGGGGGGGCGGUAUUGCAUUGUAAGAUCCCUUCUGCCCAGAGGUCUGAUGGUAUUCUUUUUUGAAAUGUCCAAUUUUUCCACAAUUAUAACAUUUUCCCACUUUAGGGCUCAACCCUUGGCCCUUUUCAGAUUUGUUCACUACUAAAUUAGCUAUUACUUGAGCUAACACAGUUGAACGAUGGAGUUCAGUUCCCACAUCCUGACAGGCUUUGAGAAAAUUUCCCAAGCUGUUUGUACAUCUCACGGGUGCUAAUGCACAUUUACAAUCUGCAUUUGCAUUUUCAAAAGCUAGGGUCAAAGUAAGCAUUUUCGCAGGAGCAGUAUGAGGAAUCUGAUGCCUCACUGACUGUUGUAACUGUGCAAUAAAUUGUGCAAAGGGCUCCUGUGAUUUUUGCAUGAUAUGCGGAAAAGAUUUUAUUGAGACCCCUUUCUCAGGAAUGGUGGCCCAGGCACGCUUAGCGGCCAGGCGCACUGAUGGUAAGCAGCAUCUGGAAGUGUCAAUUGUUGCACCAGAUCUGAAUAAGAGUCACUACCCAAUAGCAUUUCCUCUGUAAUGUUCCCAUGUCCAGCGGUGAGAUUCUGUCUAGCCUGGUCUGCACACAUUUCUUGCCAAUUUAAAUUCCAUGUCAAAUAUGCACUAGCAGAGAAACAAGUGCAAGCUAAAUGCUUUAUAUCCAAGGGUGGGAGGCGCAUAGUGCUGAAUACAGAUUCUAACAAUCCUAAAGUAAAUGGGCUCUGUAUUCCAUUAUUAACCACACUAGCUUUUAAUUCUUUCAAUAAUUUAAAUUUUACUGGAGUGUGUUCAUGAAUAAACUGCUGUGGAUUAUUUGGAUCAGGCCUUAAGGUAAUAGGAAAAGUGCAAGGUCCUAGUGGCUCGCCAGCUAUGGCCACAGCAUGUAGAAUUUUUUGUACUGGGGUCUCUAUUUCUGCUACUGGAGGGGACAGUACAGGCCAGUUCUCAUCCUCCCUCUCCUGUUUAUCAUUUUCAAUGGGCGCUGCUGGUGAGACAAAAGAUUCUUUCAAUUUUUGAGAUUCAGAACAUAGCACCUGCUGUCUGGCAGAAUAAGAAGAGGACAAUGGCAGGAGGACAGUACAGACCAAACCCCAAGCAGAGAAAAUAGAAGGAUCCACUUUAAGAACUUUCUGAUGAGCUCGUUUCAAUCUUUCUCCUACUCAGUCUCAAUUUUCCACAGCAAGAGUACCUGUCUGCAGAAACCAUGGGUUAUGUGUAAUAACCUCCUGCAGAAGCUUAAUGUUUGAGAACUAACCCGAGCACCAGAUUGUUUAAGUAAAACUUUAAGCAGCUGCACAUAAUGUUGCUCCUCAACAGACAGAUUCUGCCCCAUGUUACCCUGAUUCAGAAACCUCCCGCUCCCGAUACCUUCUCAGGGAACUGACCUUAUAUUCUCCGCCGGCAGACUCUCCCGUCCAGGGGUUCGUAGUUCGUCUGAUCAGUUUCACUUUCUCUGCUCUGGCAGACCUUCCUCGUUCAGGUCCCUGGUCGGGCACCACUUGUCACGGUUGCUUCUGGACCAAACGAAGGAGAACGAAGGCAGAAAUGAAGACAAAGACAAAAGGAUCUGUUUGAAAGAAGGGGUCAGGGGGCUCCUAGAUUCUAGGGAACAGGGCCCUGAGCUUUUACAGCCCUUCAUA
rnacentral:lncRNA from 1 species